rnacentral:lncRNA from 1 species
UUAUCACCAAAUAUGUAACCCUGGCUCUGAUACCAAACUGUCACGCCCCAAUUUUCGAAAGAUAAAUUUCAAAAAUUUUGGCAUGAUAUAUCCUAAAAUAUUAAUAUCCCAAAACCUGUUUCAACAAAAAUCAAGGAAAAUAAACUCAAUGCGAAAUGUAAAUUUACACACAACUCCAAAUUGAGUUAAAUAUUACAUUUUCUUGUUUACAUAACUUGAGAACAAGAAAGGAAACGCUCACAUGAGUUUAAUAAUUCCUAUCCCCGUGUAUAUAAAAGAAUAUACAAAGACACACCCAAAACUCAACAAAAAACCCUGCCACUACGCCUCCAUCUCAACCCUGCUGAUCCUCACCUGCAGGUCCAACCCCUACACCAAGAAAUGGUGCACCGGGUUGUAAACAACACACCCGGUAAGCUAAAAAGCUCGUAUGAGUAAACUAAAAAAAACAACACAACAUUUAUCACAUCCAAUAUUCAUAAGAGAGAUUGGAUCAAUAAUUUCAAACCACACAUCAAACACAUUACCCAAGAGAUGUACCCAUGAGUCCCAGAUAUUUAAUAAAAUACCUCUCAUGACCUACCACAACACUAUGUGUACCCAUGGGUCCCAGAUACCAUACAGUAUCUCCCAUGACCUACACUGACAGACGGACUAAAGCUCUAUUCCUAACCGUAACCAAUCACCCGGCCAAAGGCUUGGAACCCGGUUUGACUGUCUAAUAUCAAUACAAAAAUGAUAAAUAGCAUCUUAACCGCAACCAAUCACCCAAAAAGGGCUUGGAACCCGGUUUGGCUAUUUAUCCAACAAGCACAAUAAUUUUCACAACAUUAUCCACAACAACACAAGAUCACAAUUAUUAUUCUCAACAUCACAAUAUAAAGAAAACUUGUUUUUAUCUUACCUAUGAGCCGUUGGCGAUCAAGCUCAUGAAAUUUUAAAAACAAUUAAAAGCAUGAUAUUAAAACCAACAUCACCAUCAUUAUCAUUAUAUAACCAUAAUAUCCUUAGGUUCAAAAGUGAACCUUGGUGAGGUUUACUCACCUAAAUCUCCCGCUGCAAAUUCCACAACCGACCAAGGUAAACCAACUCAACUUCACAAAUCACCUAAAAAUAGCACAAUUAAAACCUUAGUAACUAAAAUACUAUAGGUUAACACAAUACCCUUAACUAACCCUUAAUUCAAGAGAUGACAACUUUCCAAAGUCGUCGAACUUAGAGACCCACAAAGGCUGCCUCUAAUCCUCCAUUCCUAACUCAAACCUCCAACAAACCUAAAAUCACACUUAACGUUCUAGCAUGCCAACAUUUCUUAAAAACUAGCCACACUACCACUCAACAAGCUCACAGCAGUAAGGACUACCUAACCACAGGAAACUAGGGCUGCAACUCAACCGGACGCGCCGCCACGCUCCGCCACAGGCGGCGGCGAGUGGGCCUCACGCGCCACCCCAAACUUCCGAAUUUGAGAAAACUCCCAACAGCAAAGUUGAAGCUUGAAGCAAGGGGAACAACUUUCAUACCUGAGACUUCGACCAAAAAUGGCCGGAACCGGCCGGAAACCGCCCCGAACAGUGACCAGAAAAUCAAAGGCAAAAUCUGCAAAACCGGCCUCAAAACCUUACAAACUUGCUUCAAUCCAUGCCUAAACACUACCAGGAGGAAGAGGGGAUCAAGACUCACCUAAACUUGGCCGAAAACGGCGUCGAAAUCGCCGGUUUUCCGGCGGGACAGCGGUAGCUCCGCCGCUUCGUGGCGGCUUCCAGGCGGCGGGACAGCUGGCGGAACUGCUCCAGAAAUGGAGAGGGCUGCUGUGGGAGUCGAAAGGGACCGGUGGCGUCCGGUUUGGUGGCCGGAUAAGGGAGAACUCGGCCGGAGAAAGUGAGAGUUCGGGAGAAGCUCGGGAGAGGAAGAGAGAGAAGAGAGAGAAGAGAGAAAAGAAAGAAAAGAAAGGGAAGAGAGAAAACAGAGACUGACUUUGUUUUUUUUUAGGGUUCCCAAAACAUCCCACACACAUUUUUCUACUUAUACUCUUUUCAAACCCAGAAACAAACUUCCUCUGAACAUAACUUCUUCAUACGACGUCCGUUUCAGGCGUGCCGCAUGUCUACGAACUCGUAUUGACAAACUCUACAACUUUCAUGAAGGAAGUUUUCGAAGAUAACUUACGGAAAAUAAAGUCAACUUUUGGCCUAUUAAAAGUCAAGGCAACUUUAAAUAAACUCCCGAACUUCAACUUCGCAUAAACCCAAGAAUUUUCAUGAAUAAUCCUUCAUUAAUUAAAGGGAUAAUACAAGGAAAAAUGAUAUGAAAAUCUAGGGUAUUACAAUCUACGUCCCUUAAAGGAAUUUCGCCCCGAAAUUCAAAGAUACUAACCCAAAAACAACUUGGGGUACAUAGCCCUCAUAUCCGACUCUAACUCCCAAGAUGCAUCACCCUCAUCAUGAUGACUCCAACACACCUUAACCAAAUCGACUUCCUUCCUUCGAAGCCUCUUGGUUGAUCUAUCUAAGAUUCGAACCGGUUCAACAACAAAGGUUGCAUCCGCAUUCACCUUGAUAGAACUAUAGUCAAUCACAUGUGAUGCAUCCGGAAUAUACUUCCUUAACAAGGACACAUGAAACACAUUGUGUACCCCGGACAUGAUAGGAGGUAAGGCAAGACGAUAAGCCAAAUCUNNNNNNNNNNNNNNNNNNNNCACAAUUAAAACCUUAGUAACUAAAUACUAUAGGUUAACACAAUACCCUUAACUAACCCUUAAUUCAAGAGAUGACAACUUUCCAAAGUCGUCGAACUUAGAGACCCACAAAGGCUGCCUCUAAUCCUCCAUUCCUAACUCAAACCUCCAACAAACCUAAAAUCACACUUAACGUUCUAGCAUGCCAACAUUUCUUAAAAACUAGCCACACUACCACUCAACAAGCUCACAGCAGUAAGGACUACCUAACCACAGGAAACUAGGGCUGCAACUCAACCGGACGCGCCGCCACAGGCGGCGGCGAGUGGGCCUCACGCGCCACCCCAAACUUCCGAAUUUGAGAAAACUCCCAACAGUAAAGUUGAAGCUUGAAGCAAGGGGAACAACUUUCAUACCUGAGACUUCGACCAAAAAUGGCCAGAACCGGCCGGAAACCGCCCCGAACAGUGACCAGAAAAUCAAAGGCAAAAUCUGCAAAACUGGCCUCAAAACCUUAAAAACUUGCUUCAAUCCAUGCCUAAACACUACCAGGAGGAAGAGGGGAUCAAGACUCACCUAAACUUGGCCGAAAACGGCGUCGAAAUCGCCGGUUUUCCGGCGGGACAACGGUAGCUCCGCCGCUUCGUGGCGGCUUCCAGGCGGCGGGACAGCCGGCGGAACUGCUCCAGAAAUGGAGAGGGCUGCUGUGGGAGUCGAAAGGGACCGGUGGCGUCCGGUUUGGUGGCCGGAUAAGGGAGAACUCGGCCGGAGAAAGUGAGAGUUCGGGAGAAGCUCGGGAGAGGAAGAGAGAGAAGAGAGAGAAGAGAGAAAAGAAAGAAAAGAAAGGGAAGAGAGAAAACAGAGACUGUACUUUUGUUUUUUUUUUAGGGUUCCCCAAAACAUCCCACACACAUUUUUCUACUUAUACUCUUUUCAAACCCGGAAACAAACUUCCUCUGAACAUAACUUCUUCAUACGAGGUCCGUUUCAGGCGUGCCGCAUGUCUACGAACUCGUAUUGACAAACUCUACAACUUUCAUGAAGGAAGUUUUCGAAGAUAACUUACGGAAAAUAAAGUCAACUUUUGGCCUAUUAAAAGUCAAGGCAACUUUAAAUAAACUCCCGAACUUCAACUUCGCAUAAACCCAAGAAUUUUCAUGAAUAAUCCUUCAUUAAUUAAAGGGAUAAUACAAGGAAAAAUGAUAUGAAAAUCUAGGGUAUUACAUAUAUAUAUAUAUAUAUUUAUGAGAAAAGUAUGUAUAUAAAUGCUAGCUACCCAUAUGUGCAUGUCCCCCAUAAUGGCAUAGCGAUUAGCUGCCAUUAUGGUGUGAUGUGAGCGUGAGACGCAAUCGUAGUAGCCAUAUAUGAAUGUUUUAAUUCAUAUAGGGGGUGGGCACGUAUAUACCCUCUGUCCACCUUAAUGGCGCAGCAAAUAACCGCCACCAAUAUGAUGUGACGUGAGCGUUGGACGCCAGCGCAGUAGCCCUAUAUGAAUUUCUUUAAAUCCAUAAAUUUAUAUAGGGGGUAUGGUUUAAAUCCAUACUUAUUUUUAAUAAAGCCUGAGAGGCUAAAUAUUUUUUUUUAAAUUGAAGACUAGCGGGGCUAGUCACGUAUUAUCAGUAUUUGUCAGUUUAUGAGUUAAAAGCUUUGACACUUGUGGCAGGCAUCAGCUUUUCUAUGAAAUUAAAUCGGGAAAGCAUAAAUAUGUUAUUUGUUUAUUUCUUUUAAAUUUAUUUUUGUCCACUCACUCUAACGUUUUCAAAUGUUUUCUCCAGGGCCCUUUGUUUUAAAAUGCCCUAUCUGCAGAGUUCGGGUCGGUACUAGUAGGAGGCGAGGCAUAGUUACCAACAGCACCACCAUUUUUCACCAAUAGGUUACAUGUUUAACCUAGGGAUGUGUUCGGUUUUGUUCAGUUCGGUUUUCAACUAAAACCGGAAACCAAACCGAAUAAAAAAUUCGGUUUGGUUUGAUAUGUUUUGAGACCUUGAACCAAAAACCAAACCAAACAGUGGUUCGGUUCAGUUUCGGUUUUUUUCGGUUUUUCUUCUUUUUUAAAAUAAUUUUUCUUAAAAUUUGUAUCCUUUUGGCUUAGUAAAAAUUUAUCGUACUUUAGGUCUUCUUUUUUUUCUUCCAUUACUUGUUUUUAUAAGCACAUAUGAUAUAUCAACAAAAUUUAUGACAAUGAUUCUCCAAAAAAAACCAACAAUCUAUAAACCAAAUAGAUACUUUAAAAG